rnacentral:rRNA from 1 species
GAGUUUGAUCCUGGCUCAGGACGAACGCUGGCGGCGUGCUUAACACAUGCAAGUGGAGCGACGAACCAGGGCUUGCCCUGGGGCAGAGCCGCGAACGGGUGAGUAACACGUGGGUAACCUACCUCGAUGACCGGGACAACCCGAGGAAACUCGGGCUAAUACCGGAUGUGCUCAGUCUUCUCAAGGGGACUGAGUAAAGAUAGCUUUCGCCUUCGCAUCGAGACGGGCCCGCGGCCCAUUAGCUUGUUGGUGAGGUAACGGCUCACCAAGGCUGCGAUGGGUAGCUGGUCUGAGAGGACGAUCAGCCACACUGGGACUGAGACACGGUCCAGACUCCUACGGGAGGCAGCAGUGGGGAAUCUUGCGCAAUGGGCGAAAGCCUGACGCAGCGACGCCGCGUGGGGGAUGAAGCUUCUCGGAGUGUAAACCCCUUUCGACCCGGACGAAUGGCCCGCAAGGGACGUGACGGUACGGGUAGAAGAAGCCCCGGCUAACUACGUGCCAGCAGCCGCGGUAAAACGUAGGGGGCCAGCGUUGCUCGGAAUUACUGGGCGUAAAGGGUUCGUAGGCGGUGCGGCAAGUCGGAAGUGAAAUCUCUGGGCUUAACCCAGAGGCUGCUCCCGAAACUGCCGUGCUCGAGUGCGGGAGAGGCGAGUGGAAUUGCAGGUGUAGCGGUGAAAUGCGUAGAUAUCUGCAGGAACACCCGUGGCGAAGGCGGCUCGCUGGACCGCAACUGACGCUGAGGAACGAAAGCUAGGGGAGCAAACAGGAUUAGAUACCCUGGUAGUCCUAGCCCUAAACCAUCAGGACUUGGGGUGCAUCCCGUUUGGGGUGCGUCCCGUAGCUAACGCGUUAAACGCGCCGCCUGGGGAGUACGGUCGCAAGAUUAAAACUCAAAGAAAUUGACGGGGGCCCGCACAAGCGGUGGAGUAUGUGGCUUAAUUCGAUGCAACGCGAAGAACCUUACCUGGGCUUGACAUGCAUCUCUAAGUCGGUGAAAGCCGGCGACUCCCGCAAGGGAGAAUUUGCACAGGUGCUGCAUGGCUGUCGUCAGCUCGUGUCGUGAGAUGUUGGGUUAAGUCCCGCAACGAGCGCAACCCCUGUGGCCUGUUGCCCCCGACCCGCGAGGGUCGAGCACUCUGGCCAGACUGCCCUGUGAAACGGGGAGGAAGGUGGGGAUGACGUCAAGUCAGCAUGGCCCUUACGCCCAGGGCUGCACACGUACUACAAUGCUCAGUACAGAAAGAACCGAGACCGCGAGGUGGAGGAAAUCACGAAAACUGAGCCCAAUUCGGAUCGCAGGCUGCAACUCGCCUGCGUGAAGCCGGAAUCGCUAGUAAUGGCGUAUCAGCUACGACGCCGUGAUACGUUCCCGGGCCUUGCACACAC